CGGGCGCCAUGGCCGGAGCCGGAGCGGUGCGGGACGCGGAGCCCAACGCGUUGCGGGGCUGCGGGGGGGCGGUGAGCUGCGGGGCCCCCCCCGGAAACAGCACAGCUCGGUGGGAACCACGUGGCAGCGGAGCAGCUGUGCCCCCCCCCGCUGCCGGACCCCCCCCCAGGUUGGAGCAGGAGUUGGGCGCCCGCCUGCGCCGUUUGGGGGACGCCUUCCAGCAGGCACAUGAGCUCCCCCCCGCCCACACGGAGGCACUUUUUGGGGCCACGUCUUCCAGGUGGUGUCUCAGCUGCUGGGGGUCCUCUACAACCUACAUGCGGCCGCGCUGCCCCCCCGGCAGCACCAGUGACCCCCCCGAGGCCCCCCCACCCCCUAUUUAUUUAUUUAUUGUGCCAUUGAGAGGGGGUGGGGGGGGGGGGGGAGGUUGGGGGCUGAAUCUUAAGCACUGCCCCAUUGCAUCCUGUACAUGUGUAUGAUGGAAUGUACAUCUUGGGGGGGGCUCUGUAUAUCUGGGGGGG
ensembl:lncRNA